CACAGUAGCCAUACCAGCUUGCUAGAGCUUGUCAAAUUUCAAAAGCUAAGCAACACCAGGCCUGAUUCGUACUUGGAUGGGGGACAGCUAGGAAUACCAGAUGCCACAGUGG
rnacentral:rRNA from 1 species